rnacentral:rRNA from 1 species
GAUGAACGCUAGCGGCAGGCUUAACACAUGCAAGUCGAGGGGCAGCAUGGGACGGAGAUUCGUCGAAGUCCUGAUGGCGACCGGCGCAAGGGUGCGUAACGCGUGAGCAACUUGCCCGUUUCUGGGGAAUAACCGGUGGAAACGCCGACUAAUACCCCAUGGCAUCAAUGAGAGGCAUCUUUGUUGAUUAAAGAAUUUCGGAAACGGAUAGGCUCGCGUGACAUUAGCUAGAUGGCGGGGUAACGGCCCACCAUGGCUACGAUGUCUAGGGGUUCUGAGAGGAAGGUCCCCCACACUGGAACUGAGACACGGUCCAGACUCCUACGGGAGGCAGCAGUGAGGAAUAUUGGUCAAUGGUCGGAAGACUGAACCAGCCAAGUCGCGUGAAGGAUGAAGGUUCUAUGGAUUGUAAACUUCUUUGUCUGAGGGUAAAAAGGCCACGUGUGGCUUCUUGCAAGUAUCAGACGAAUAAGCAUCGGCUAACUCCGUGCCAG